rnacentral:rRNA from 1 species
AACGCCGCGUGAGUGAUGAAGGGUUUCGGCUCGUAAAACUCUGUUGUUGGAGAAGAACAGGUGAUAGAGUAACUGUUAUCAUCUUGACGGUAUCCAACCAGAAAGCCACGGCUAACUACGUGCCAGCAGCCGCGGUAAUACGUAGGUGGCAAGCGUUGUCCGGAUUUAUUGGGCGUAAAGCGAGCGCAGGCGGUUUUUUAGGUCUGAUGUGAAAGCCUUCGGCUUAACCGGAGAAGGGCAUCGGAAACCGGGAGACUUGAGUGCAGAAGAGGACAGUGGAACUCCAUGUGUAGCGGUGAAAUGCGUAGAUAUAUGGAAGAACACCAGUGGCGAAGGCGGCUGUCUGGUCUGUAACUGACGCUGAGGCUCGAAAGCAUGGGUAGCGAACAGGAUUAGAUACCCUGGUAGUCCAUGCCGUAAACGAUGAGUGCUAAGUGUUGGAGGGUUUCCGCCCUUCAGUGCUGCAGCUAACGCAUUAAGCACUCCGCCUGGGGAGUACGACCGCAAGGUUGAAACUCAAAGGAAUUGACGGGGGCCCGCACAAGCGGUGGAGCAUGUGGUUUAAUUCGAUGCUACGCGAAGAACCUUACCAGGUCUUGACAUCUUCUGCUAACCUAAGAGAUUAGGCGUUCCCUUCGGGGACGGAAUGACAGGUGGUGCAUGGUUGUCGUCAGCUCGUGUCGUGAGAUGU